rnacentral:rRNA from 1 species
AGAACGAACGCUGGCGGCAGGCCUAACACAUGCAAGUCGAACGAGAUCUUCGGAUCUAGUGGCGCACGGGUGAGUAACGCGUGGGAACCUGUCCUUUGGUACGGAAUAACAUCGGGAAACUGGUGCUAAUACCGUAUAUUCCCUGAGGGGGAAAGAUUUAUCGCCAAAGGAGGGGCCCGCGUAGGAUUAGCUAGUUGGUGAGGUAACGGCUCACCAAGGCGACGAUCCUUAGCUGGUCUGAGAGGAUGAUCAGCCACACUGGGACUGAGACACGGCCCAGACUCCUACGGGAGGCAGCAGUGGGGAAUAUUGGACAAUGGGGGAAACCCUGAUCCAGCCAUGCCGCGUGUGUGAUGAAGGCCUUCGGGUUGUAAAGCACUUUCACACGUGACGAUGAUGACGGUAACGUGAGAAGAGCCCGGCUAACUUCGCGCCAGCAGCCGC